UAGUGUGCACUGGCCUAGAGAGUUUUGCACAUUGAAGUUGACCAGGUAGCCUAGUUAGACCUUGCUUGGGUGGCCAGAGUUGAAGUUUUGUUAUCAAGCUAGUAGUUUUGUGAUAAAAUAGGGAAGUGAACUGACUGCAGAAAACCAACAUGUGAAAGGAAGACAGGCCUACAAGUCAUCUGGAAACCCCUGGCUGACACUGACCCUCCCUGGCUGGCUUUGAGAAGAGACGUGUGAACAAAACCGGGCGAGAGAAGUGGAACAAUGACUUCACACCUGAAAGGAGAGCGGCCCAACAGGUGUGACUGGUGUAUAGUUCCCGCAUAUUUCACCUUUUAUGGGAAUGUGCGCCAUUUACAUACGUCCCUAUUCACAAUUGCCAGGAAAUUCAGGUGGAAAAUGCUUCAAACGUCGAACAGGCCCUUGGGAGUGUCCUUGCAAUGUGUGUGUCAAUGUGUGUGCAUGUGUCUGUGUGGGGGUGUAUGUAUUGUACCUGUUCUUGCAUGUAAAUUUGAAACACUAACUGGUACAUUUUUCCACAAUAUCUCUAUGAUAAUCGGCUAAUGUGGGUCCUUUACUUCAUGGGCUCUAAAGUACAUUCAGCUGCUGUGUAAGUAGGGCUAGCUAAUGGCCAACACAAAUAAAUUAGUCUCCCCUUCA